rnacentral:rRNA from 1 species
UACAGAGGUCCCAAGCGUUGUUCGGAUUCAUUGGGCGUAAAGGGUGCGUAGGUGGCAUGGUAAGUCGGGUGUGAAAUCCCGGGGCUCAACCCCGGAACUGCACUCGAUACUGCCGUGCUCGAGUACUGGAGAGGAGACUGGAAUUUACGGUGUAGCAGUGAAAUGCGUAGAUAUCGUAAGGAAGACCGGUGGCGAAGGCGGGUCUCUGGGCAGUAACUGACGCUGAGGCACGAAAGCUAGGGGGAGCAAACAGG